GGCCAAGGUGGGUGGAUCACGAAGUCAGGAGAUCGAGACCAUCCUGGCUAACACGGUGAAACCCCGUCUCUACUAAAAAUACAAAAAAUUAGCCGGGCAUGAUGGCAGGUGCCUGUAGUCCCAGCUACACAGGAGGCUGAGGCAGGAGAAUGGCAUUAACCCGGCAGGUAGAGCUUGCAGUGAGCUGAGAUCACGCCACUGCACUCCAGCCCGGGCGACAGAGCGAUACUGUAAGAUGGACACCUACCACUUGAAAAGAUGAUUUUUCAAGGAAGAAAACAGUUGUUGCAGGAAACCUACAAAUUCUAGGUGCUCACACGGAUAGAUUAGGAAAAAUAAUGUGCAUAUGCUAUUUCCAACUGGGUCAAAGUAGAUGUUAGGGAAAAAAAAAAAAGCAUAUAGAUGCUUUUUUUUUGUUUUUUGGACGGAGUCUCACUGUCACCCAGGCUGGAGUGCAGUGAUGUGAUCUCAGCUCACUGCAACUUCCACCUCCUGGGUUACAGGUGCCUGCCACCAUGCCCAGCUUAUUUUUGUAUUUUUAGUAAUGACAGGGUUUCACCAUGUUGGCCAGGCUAGUCUUGAACUUCUGACCUCAGGUGAUCCACCCACCUUGGCCUCCCAAAGUGCGGGGAUUACAGGCGUGAGCCAACACGUGCAGCCAUUUCUGAAUUCUGAAGGAUCAUGGCUCUGUCAACAAACACCAGCCAGACAUGCAGCUUAACCAUUUCUAAGUCUUAUAACCUUGAACCACUCCCUAGGGUUGUCUGAGAUUUUACUCAUUCAAGCAGCAAUACCCAUGUACCCCAUUAGGUUAAGAAUUAAAUUAAAACACAAUACCAGAACAAGUAAAUCUUACUUUAACCCAUCCAAAGAUUUUCAAAGGCCAGGAACCCAAGCCCACUUCAGAUAUUCUUCCUAAACCCCCAAUGCUCCAGACGAACUGUGCCUGUUUACUGUCCCCUAGAUUCCUUCAUCUUUAACCCUCACCACAAGAUCCAAUGUCUCUCCAUAUCAGAUUCCCCUCCCUCCAGUGACACUUUUAUGUAUUAGGUUAGUGCAAAAGUAAAUGUGGUUUUUGCAUUAAAGUAAUGGCAAAAACCACAAUUACUUUUGCACCAACCUAAUAUUACUAUUUCUGAUGCUACAAGUGGUUAACAUCUGCCAGGGAUCUGUCUCAGUCUUUUAACAUUAAAUGUAUCAAAAAUACUUAGAAACAUUUUUGCCAUGACACCAAAACAAACACAAAGGCAUUAUUUCCUAGUGUCUUCCAGUUCUCCAUGUUUAAAGCAACCACCUAUGAGGUUAUAAGCUGCUCAACUGGUUUAAGGGGCCAAUCAAGGGAUGUGAUGGACAGUAUCUUACUGCUCCCUGGAAUCCUAACAUCAAUCACCCAAAACACUUCCCCAUCAAACAAGAUCAACACAUAUGAACCACUGAUAUAUAUAAUUUUUCUUCUAGGAAAAUAAAUAUGAAACAUGCUUUUAGUUAAACAAUCAUUUUAUUGCUUGAGUACACAGACAAAUUUAUGCGACCAGGGCAGAGGCUGUAGAUGAUUCACUGAAAAAGAAAAAAGGGGAAAGAAAGAAAAUCAGGAUUAAUACUAGUCCCUCCACAUUCAUUAACAGAAUCUCCCCACUAAUGGUGCUAUUCUCAAACAGUUAAUAAAUCCAAACUAUAUAAAGUGCACCAAACUUCUGAAUACCUGAACCAACUCAUUGUGUUCAAGCACAAUGAAUGAAGAUGCUCACUCAGACAUCCAAGGAAGAACUGGCCAACAUAAGGAAAAACAUUUCUGGUGGAAACUGCGAAUGUCUGGCAACCAAUCAUCAUAGUGAGCAAUUCAUGUGAAAAUUAAUUCAAACUCCUGGGAGUAGAGGUAUGAAAGGAAAAUCUACCUACUAUCUAAAAGAGAGUCAAAGGGCUUAUUCAUGGUCUAAAUCUGGGGUCUGCAACUAUGGCCCUCUGCUUGUCUUUAUUAAAGACAAGCAGCCACACCCAUUCGAUUAUGUAUUGCCUGUGGCUGCUUUCCCACUACCAGGCCAGAGCUCAAAGAGCAGUUAACAAAAUAGCCCCCAAGGCUGAACAUAUUUACUACUAGCCCCCAAGGCUGAACAUAUUUACUACUAGGACUUUUACUACUGGCUGACUCCUAUUCUUGAUAACAACGACAAAAGAGUUGAUACUUAC
rnacentral:lncRNA from 1 species